CAUUUCGCUUCUCCGAGGGCCGCAUGCGUUCAAGGACCCCAGAUAAUUAUGUUACGAGGACACAUGGCCCCAGCUUGAGGCAGACAGAUAACCGAAAAGGCAGGAGGGCAAAAGCAAUGCUUAAUGUGGCUUUAAUUAGUGGAAUCACAAAAAUGAAUGUGGAGGGGAAAAUAAUAAGAACGUAGUGAAGAAGUAGAGCAACCCCAAGCCAUAAUAUCAAACCGAGCAGACCUGCCUGCUGUUUGUGCCACCAAAGCGAAAAAUAUCUGAGGCCGAAAUGACCUUGCAUAAAUUAGAUAUUAGCCGUCCCGAUGCUGAGGCUGCCAUCCUGCGAAGGACACUCUGGCAUUUAUUAAGUGAACCAUUUCAAUUUUCACUGAUAGUUUGACAUUUCCCAGCUUAAUCAGCCGUGCUUUCGCAAGCCAAAAAAAAAACGUGAAAAACCCAAACGAAUCGCAGGAAUUAUGCAAAUGAUCAGGGGGCGAAAGUGGCAAGGAUUUUCGCAGUAGGCUUUCGGCUAAGUCUGCUUCCACAUGUUGCUUUAUCUCCAUCUCUGUGCCAAAUAACUCAGGUCAGGCAAAGUAGCGCAGCGUUGACUUUGUGUACUCCGAACAAUGUGGUUUGCCUGUUUUUUUUUUGUUUGUUUUUAUGUUCUGGAAAACUGGUAACCAAGGCUUAGACAAGACUCUGGCAACUUGAUGAUGGGAUAAACGGCAUUGAAAGCAUACUCAGUGGGACUGUAGCUGCCGCAAUUAUUAAUGUUGUUUCCCACAUAUCCGAGCUUAAAUCAGGCAAUGCACAGUGGUUCACAUUGUGUGGGGAAAGUGGCCAAAAAUAAUUCCAGUUGAGGUAGACACUUAUAUACAU